GAAAUGUAACACCCUUUUUGGAAAUAGAUCAUAGAUCAUGGACUGUUUUUGUAAUUUUCAACUUUUGACUAUAAAAACCCCUUUUUCACCCGUUUUCUCUCAUUUUCUCUUUCGUCGUCUCUCUCCUCACGAGAGCGCCUCUUUUCUUCUCGUGCGACCAACGGUGGAGCUUCCACCGUUCUUUCAUGAUCAAAAACAAAGAAGAGAGAGCUGCUUCUCCGUUUGGGUUUCUCACGCCUUCACGCCCUCGACGGACCACGUCUUCAGACGCCCCUUUUUCGCUCGCUUUUUCUGUGCUGCCUCCGUGAGGAAGACUACCUCCUACCUCCAGCAGACCCAGAGGCUACAAUAACGUCUUCCUCUCUCUCUGCCUCUAGCUUUCGUUGAGAUAAGGGUGAACUGGCAGAGAGGAAAGUCUGCCAGUACUUCCAUCCAAAAUCACCUCUCUGCCACCAGCACAAGGAGAGAGCGGUUGCAGACAAUCGUGCGAUUGCUGCUCGUCGGCAGAGAGGGCAGAAGCAGAGGAGACGAGUUUUUACACAAAAAAAAUGGGUUUCUAGAGAUGAAAGAUGUGAGAAUGUCAAGAACCACAAGCCCUAACCCGUUCUGCCCCUUUUGAAAAAAUUUUCGUCGCUCAGUUUUAAAGCUUGAGCGGCACCAAGGCAACAGGGACGAAGCAAAUCACACUGAUCACGGAGGAUUUCUCAUCUGUUAACAGAGGGUUUUCAAAAAAAGGAAACUCAAACAAGCGGAAGUCUGCCUUUUGUGGAUGCAGCAAGAUCUCCAACGAGCGUCCCAUGUGUAAGAAUAGGAAAACAAGAGCCAGAAGAAGAGAAGGAAGGAGUACCCAGUUUUAGGGGUUUUCAACCAAGGGGCUGCUCACAGCUAAUCAUAUUCAGGAGAGCUUGCUAGGUAUAUAUUGUCCAGCCUUAGGUUUUCCCCAAACCCUAGCUGCGGUUCCUUGAAA